UUUUAUAUUAUUUAUAACUUUUCACUAUCAUAACCGUACCAUUAAGUAUUUUCCACUAUUACACUUCCCUAACCUUAGAGUUUAUUGCAAAUGUAACCAACAUAGAGUAAUAAAAGAAAUAUUGCUUAAUUUUCAUUUUCACUCUAACCUUUAUAACCACCACUUAUCACAUUUUUUUUAUAUUUGUUCUAUACAUUUGACACUUGCAAUGGUACUCAUGAGAUUAUAUAUAUCUUCAAGUUGUACACUAUGUCUACUAUUGAUAGCAAUCUCAGCAAGAUAUGUAGACAUUUUUUGAAUAUACAUGUGUUCAUUUGUCUUUUAUAGUA
rnacentral:lncRNA from 1 species